rnacentral:rRNA from 1 species
GUGAGGAAUAUUGGUCAAUGGGCGCAAGCCUGAACCAGCCAUGCCGCGUGCAGGAAGACGGUCCUAUGGAUUGUUAACUGCUUUUAUUUGGGAAUAAACUCCGGUACGUGUACCGGCCUGAAGGUACCAAAUGAAUAAGCACCGGCUAACUCCGUGCCAGCAGCCGCGGUAAUACGGAGGGUGCAAGCGUUAUCCGGAAUCACUGGGUUUAAAGGGUCCGCAGGCGGUCUUAUAAGUCAGUGGUGAAAGCCUACAGCUCAACGGUAGAACUGCCAUUGGUACUGUAGGACUUGAAUUCGAUCGAAGUGGGCGGAAUGUGACAUGUAGCGGUGAAAUGCUUAGAUAUGUCACAGAACACCGAUAGCGAAGGCAGCUCACUAGGUCUGGAUUGACGCUCAGGGACGAAAGCGUGGGGAGCAAACAGGAUUAGAAACCCGGGUAGUCC